UUUCUUCUCUAUUACACUAUAUCAUUUUAUGCUGGUAGUUUACCAUCUUGGUCAUUUCAUAUAUGCCGUUAUUUGUAAGCAUUUAUCUUGCUGUGGAUUGAGGGUUCGGGCUAGAAUUUAAUUUGGUGGCUUCUGACCUGUAACUUCUCCUGUUAUGUUUAACUUUGAAAUGCUUUCAAACAAUUUGGCUUGUGAGCUAUAACUUAAUCGCCUUUUUUUGUUCCGGGAGGGAAAAUAAAGAAAGAAUCUCAGCACCGAUUAAACUCAUUUUUACUACUGCUUCCGUUGCUACAGCCAGAGAGGAACUCAAACAUUGUCUCCCGAUCUAUUAUUUCAAGAUGGAAUUGAACUGCUAGGACAAAUGAAUGAUUACGUUCAUCAUUCAAAUGGUAAAAUUCCAUUGCAAAAUGCAGAGCCUAAUUCUAGAAUGAUCUACUUAAUAUUUUCCAAUAAAUGUUGUAUUUGAAAUUUUAGAUUUGAUUAAAAAUAAGGAGUAACCACCACCCUUCUUGUUAGAGUUUAAAUGUGAGGUGUGAGAAAGUGGUAAAAAAUUGUGGAAUAAAACUGUUGUGCGGAUAAAUGGUGCAUAAGAUCUUGUGAGGUGCUUGCUUUAGCAGUAUUAUGCUUCAGAUUUAUUAUAUUUGAUAACUUGUAUCAUUGAAUCAGCAUGUUCAAGCUAAUGCUCAUUACGAGCGAAUGUUCACUUCUCUCAUUUAAUGUGGAAUUAGGGUUUAAAAAUAGAAUGAAAUAUCUUUAGUUUUUCUAAGUGGUAAUUUGGGCUUGGGUGCAGGUGAGUUUGAGCGAGUAGCAGGACACACAUCAAAAGUAAAGUGUGCACACAUAUGGCACACACUUUGUUAUUACUGGAUUCAACUAUUUGUUUUUGUGCAACUGGUGCUGAAAUUUGCAUAUUUUGUUAUGUAUAAAGGUACAGGUGAUUUGGGCGAGCGACCCAGUUUCACAAUGGAGGGGAGGAG
rnacentral:misc_RNA from 1 species